rnacentral:tRNA from 1 species
CGGGCAAUAGUUCAGUGGUGGAGCUCCCGCUUCAUAUGCGGGAAGACCUGGGUUCGAUUCCCGGCUGCUUAC